AUUGACGAUAAGUAUAAUUUAAUUAAAGUUAACCAUGUUAUUUCGUGUUAUUAUAUUAAUGUAUUUCUAUAUUCAUAUACUCACUUAAACAUUCGACGCGUAUACAUUGCGAAAGAGGAUCUCCCAUAUGAAGAUUGAGACAAGAACAAACGGGACGCCCACGACUCAUCGUACAUCUCGCGUUGACUCCACAAGUGAAAAAGAAGAAUAAAAAAAGAGAAAUAAUUUUAUACCAGAUGUAAUUAUCUUUGAUUGCAAGUACUGUCCACCGUUGACCUUUAUGGUGAAUGCUACCAGUAAUAUUAUAGAAAUUUUUCCAGAAUUGAAUGAAUACAAUAUCAUAAAAAUAUUAAAUAAAAAUCCGAUGAUUGAGAUAUACAGAUCCUACGGAAGAUCCGUGCACGAUGAGCAAAUGCAGGGAAUUGAGGAAAUGACACGGCGAUCGGUCCAGGUGAUAGUUUCGAAUGAAGACCCCACUUUCCGCAAACUUUAAUACAACUUCGCCCGCGCAUAACCCUGAGGUACGUUCGUGGAAAAAUGCGGAUUAUAUUAACAUAAUUUGUUCCUGUUAUACGCCUAUAAAUAUUUUUAAACAUCUUCCAGUAUUAUUGGUAAUAUAUUAAACGAAGGUCCCACUGAUCUAUCUUGCUCAAUAUACGAUAAAAUAAUCUAAGAAAAACAA
rnacentral:lncRNA from 1 species